rnacentral:rRNA from 1 species
AGUGCACGCCGUAAACGAUGAAUACUAGGUGUCGGGGUCCACAGGAUCCCGGUGCCGCAGCAAACGCAUUAAGUAUUCCACCUGGGGAGUACGUUCGCAGGAAUGAAACUCAAAGGAAUUGACGGGGACCCGCACAAGCGGUGGAGCAUGUGGUUUAAUUUGAAGCAACGCGGAGAACCUUACCAAGCCUUGACAUCCUCCUGACGGCCCCUUAGCCGGGGAGUCCCUUCGGGGCAGGAGAGACAGGUGGUGCAUGGUUGUCGUCAGCUCGUGUCGUGGGAUGUUGGGUUAAGUCCCGCAACGAGCGCAACCCUUAUCCUCAGUAGCCAGCGGUCCGGCCGGGCACUCUGUGGAGACUGCCGGAGAUAAUCCGGAGGAAGGUGGGGAUGACGUCAAAUCAUCAUGCCCCUUAUGGCUUGGGCUACACACGUGCUACAAUGGCGGUAACAGAGUGAAGCAGCCUCGCGAGAGUGAGCCAACCACAAAAAAACCGUCCCAGUUCGGAUUGUAGUCUGCAACCCGACUACAUGAAGCUGGAAUCGCUAGUAAUCGCAGAUCAGAAUGCUGCGGUGAAUACGUUCCCGGGUCUUGUACACACCGCCCGUCACACCAUGGGAGUCGGAAAUGCCCGAAGCCAGUGACCCAACCUUAGGGAGGGAACUGUCGAAGGUGGAGCCGAUAACUGGGGUGAAGUCGUAACAAGGUAGCCGUAUCGGAAGGUGCGGCUGGAUCACCUC